CCCGCUGAACUUAAGCAUAUUAAUAAGCGGAGGAAAAGAAACUAACAAGUUUUCCCCUAGUAACGGCAAGUGGUGAAGCGGGA
rnacentral:ncRNA from 1 species